CAGUAGCCGCGGUAAUACAGAGGGUGCGAGCGUUAAUCGGAUUUACUGGGCGUAAAGCGUGCGUAGGCGGCUUUUUAAGUCGGAUGUGAAAUCCCUGAGCUUAACUUAGGAAUUGCAUUCGAUACUGGGAAUCUAGAGUAUGGGAGAGGAUGGUAGAAUUCCAGGUGUAGCGGUGAAAUGCGUAGAGAUCUGGAGGAAUACCGAUGGCGAAGGCAGCCAUCUGGCCUAAUACUGACGCUGAGGUACGAAAGCAUGGGGAGCAAACAGGAUUAGAUACCCCUGUAGUCCCUGUCUCUUAUAC
rnacentral:rRNA from 1 species